UUAUUUAGUUCCUGUCAUCCCCUUCAAAAUGUUAAAAACACUGUUCAUAAUAUUAAAGAUAUUAGAAUAUCUAAGAAGAAGAAAUCAUUAUCUAAUCCACUUUUUCUGACUUGUCUCGUUCAAACGCUUAUAUUUGAGGGAUACCCACAUGUAGAAUCACUGUAUCAAUUAGAAGAAGAUUACAGAUUCGUGAACGGGCCGGCUGUAUCGAGCACAAAAUGAUUUACGAUCCGCUUCGGUUAUGCCCCCUUUUCUCAUCGUAAAUCGGAGCUGGCCGUCGCGUCGUCUUUAUGGUUCGCAGAUUCCAAGGCUCCAUCUGCACGCCACGCCAUAAAACUAGCUAUACAUAUACCUAUCCCUUUCUCCCUUUCCUUUUUUCCUGCAUUGAUCGAUCGAGUCGUCGAACCACUUCCGUUAUAUAUAGAGUAUAUAGCUCGUAUUUUAGGCAACCACUCGUAAGCAGCUGCUUUUCAAUAGCCGAAAAGGGAGAAACAACACGAAAGGAGACAAGCUCUAGCCGCACCUUUUCAGGGGCGAAUUUUACGUGUUACCAUACAGUUUCCAGGGAAAAGGUCAAUUAAUCGUUUAUAACCCCCUCUGUGAUUGGAUUACUGAAAAGCUGAUCGGUUGAUAAGUAACUCCUUUAAGGAUGCAACCCGUCCGACUGUGGAAUUGAACCACGUCGCUUCUUCAGAAGAUCGAAAUGACCAUGUCUUCUCUACUGGAAUAUUUACGCUGUAAAAGAAAGACUAUUUUCUGCUUAAUAUAAUAUACAUUACAUAUUCCAACAUCUUUAUAGUUAUUCAAUGUAUAGCAAUUAUAUAUUCAAUACUAUUUGCAUAGUUUUUAACAAUUUCAGACCAUUCGGCUUUUAAAUAUGAAAUACGCUUUUUCAGACUUCACUUUUGUCCUAUUUAGCAAGCUCUUCUUCACUGUGUUUCAUGUUGUAUGCAUAAGUAACGAUGCGAAUAAAGCUUGAUGUUCGCUUUUAUGAAUAAAGUUAGGCGAAUUACGCGUAAGUUUCAGUAACGACUUGUAAUAAGAAUUUUCACUUCUAUCAGCAUAUUCAUCUCAUCUUCAUGAUAAAGUUCUUCUAGUGUCAUUGGAUAAGAACUUAUCUCAUGUAGACUUUUCUCAUAGACUUUAUGAUUUAUCGAAUUCCAAGUGCGCAACAUUAUCGACCGAGUCUUGAUUCUCUUCUUCGCACACUUAUCGAUCGAAAUAUCGAAUUUUCUCGGAAUACUCUUAACUUCAGAUAAUACUAAGUAUUAAAUGUAAUUGAAUUUGGAAUUUUUAUAGCCAUUGUAUAUUUAAUUUCAUUGAUAAUCUAUAAAAUUGUGAUACUUUAACUUUACGCGCUAUUUAAUUUCCAGUAAAAUUCUCAGCUAUGUUGAGCACGUAGAGGAGGUUAAACAUGACCAGAUGGGAAGCGUUAACGCGGCGUGACCUGUCGAAACUCUUAAUUAAAUUCAGGAAGUCUGGUACUAGGAAGUCGGCGAUAUUUGUGAGCACGAAAACGCGAACUCAGCAGCGAAGAAGAAGCACAUUCUAUUCGUGCAUGAAUUCUCGAGAGCUGCACACAAGUGCAUUUCAAGUACUCGGUCAACAGUAGAGUCUUCCUUAAACACUCUGUACGCGUUUUAACGAGUCCCAUUCAGUGUAUCCCUCUUUCCACGUUUGCAUCCUCCGUGUUCUUCUUUCCUUUCCCUUUACUCCCUUCCCUUUGUCAGUUUCUUAUCUCUGCCAUUUCUUUUACAUUUUUCACUUGUCUUACUUUUUCAAUUCGUUUCCACCAUUUUCCUUAUUUCACUCUACCAUCCAUUUCCUUCUCUUUUUCGUUUUAUAUUUCUGGUGUAUUGUAUGGUGUUUCUUUCACGUACUAUCAAAUUGUUCUUUUUUAUAGUUUCAUCUAUGUUCCAUUUCCAUGUACGGUAGCUGAUGAAAUUCGCAAUUUCUGCAUACAUUUUCACAUUGGUUUCAAAUUUUAUAAAUAUUAUAAUGUAAUAUAUAUAUAUAAUAUAUAAUACUUAUAUAAACUUUAUUCCAACAUCUUUUAUUAAUACAAUUAAAUCAAAUAUGUAUCAUUUAGUUCAAUAAUCCUAUAUCAUUUAUUAGGUAGUGUUAUUAUUUUAUCCGUGUAGCAUUUGUGUUGCUUUUGAGUGGUCUCAGAAAGGUUUCAGAUUCAUCCGACAAUGUAAUAAAAUCAUGGUAAUCCAGUCUUAUUAUGCCCUAUCAAUGAAAUUUCAAAUUUUUUUAUAUGAUACACAAUAUAUACAAAACUUUUUCAUGGUAAAUAUCGAAAUACUUGCGUCAGCUACUGUUUUCUCAUAAAUAUACCUUUUAUCAGCAUUUCUUUCGUUUCCCCCACCAUCUUGCUCGUCACUCGCAGGGUGGUUCCUCUUCAACGAACACCAUUUAUAUCGGCACGGAAUCGAGGGUGCGAACUCGUUGUAUAACGCUCCUUUGUAUGCAAACAAGGUGCUUGUUUCUAAAUUGGGUUGCAAGUCGAGCCAUCGUUAAUUAAUAUAUCUCGCGGUACUACCGAAUUAAGCUCGCUAAGCGAGACGGCUGGGAGGCACAGCCUUUGCUACCGUCCGGAUCCCGUAUAUACCCAAGUGGUGAGGAUUUGCCCGUUAGUCCGUUCGUUAAACGACCACCCUGGGAGUCGUACCAAUCAUAAACGAAACGUCGCUCGAACGCCACGUUCUGGGAUACAUACCAGGUUUUCAUGAUUCAUUCGUGACCGGCUUAUCAAUGCUUCCUAAAUUUGUUGAAAAUGAAUUUUUAUGGUAUCUCGCGCUUAUUUACCGUUGGUAAAGGCUCAUAGAAUGAUAGCUAUAUAAAGUGAUGGACAAUAUAUUUAUCAUUGUAGUAAAAUAUAAUAAUAUGUGUAAAUAAAAAUUGUCAAAAGUGUGAAAAUGUGUACAAACCAAUAUUUUUGCCUAGGUAUAAAAUAAUGGUAAAAAAUAUUUUUAUUAGCUGCAUAUUCUCUAUUCUAUCAUAUUUGUCCUCUUUUUGAAUGCAGGCAAAUAAGACAUAAAUAAACAUCCAUAUAAAGCAUAAGUAGUAUAGAUAAUGUUUUUAAUAAUAAUGUUUGUAUGAGGGGUUGCGUACUGUGCCAAUAUCCAUCACUGUGUACAUAGAUACUUAUACAUGAUGAUCAGUUUCUAUGAAAGUUCCUAUGAAUAGCGAUAAGAUAUUUUAUUACAAUUCCAAGAAUUCAAACGUACAUAGCCUUUAAUCGGCGAUUCAAUUAAACCAAUGACAGGCACGAUGCCGCGUGCAAUGCAGUACUUAACCUAUCUGUGUUUAUUGCCAGAAUAAUAUAUAGCCACUGAAAGCGUGGCUUCCUUCGGUAACUUAAUAAAUCUUCCGCUCACCUCUAUGGAACAGCUAUAAUUACACCUGUUUAGAGCGAAUAAGAAUUAAGCACACCGUUCAUAGCCUCCUUCUACGUUAUCUGAAACUGAUUCACGAGACUUGAUUUGACCUCUUCUCAACUCCUAAGUUUCUUCUUCCUUGGUCAUCAUCCCUACGGGCUUUCGCGUUCAAUUAAAUCCCCAGGUUGGCGAAUUUUAUUUACCUUCGGCACGAUUGCGCAGAGAGGGCGCCACCUCCAAUUACCCAGCGUAAAAAUGUAACUCGAUAUGAGCGCCUGUUAUUCGAGAUACGCGUAGGGAAUUAAAAAAUGCAAUUUCUGUCUAACGAAAAAUAUACGCAUGGUCGUGCAAAGGCACGCGUUUCGAAUGGUGGAAGACUCUCGUUAUAUGGGAGAUGGAGACGAGUGUUUUGAAAUUCCAUCACGAAACCAGAUGAGGUUUGUGCACGAGGCGAUUCAUUAAAAGGUAUAUUUUCCGUCGGCGUUUUAACCUACGUCCGUUCGAAAGGGGAAGUUUUCUAGCGUAUCAUAUUUUUCUCUCAAGCUGCAUUCUCACUCGUUUUGCUGCCUGUUGAUGUUGCACGUUUCGAAUAAUACCCAACAUCUAUCAACUUGUAGAAACAUUUUGUCCACACUGGAGCAAAGUAACCAGUGGAACAUUUUGUUUUCGUUGUUCACAUACUAAUGCGUUGUGAAUCAACAACAGUAGGCAAUAAACACUAACUUAUAUCAGUGCCAAUAGAAUUGGAAAAAACAUGGAAGAACAUUGCGCAACAACCAGUAACCUUUUCGAAAAAUACAGAACAUUAACAAAAAGUCCCUUGUCGUUGUUUCAGUGAGGACGCAGCUUUAGCGUUACUUUGAAUAGGGAAGGGGCCAAGAAGACGCGUGACGCGGGGAAUUUUGAUUAAUCUCCAUUAUUUUUCAAACGUAUCUCCGUAGCCGCCACUAGAUGUCACGGUUUAGUUGGAAAAGGGACCGAUCAGAGAAGAAUGAGCAUUAUGAAAGCGGGAAGAAAGAAAAUGAAACGUGCCCGUUAGGUUAGGUUGUUCUUAUUUAAUCUCGACGUAUAAUGAAGCUUAGGGUACUUCGAGAUUCUGCCCCCGGGGCAUCGAUGGGCGUAACUAUAAAAGUGGAUUUGAAUUUUAAUCGUGGCAGGUUAUGAAAUAUGUAAUUUUCGUUUCGUUUCAAUGUAAAGUAAGCUGAUCGGAUGCAACAGUAGGAAUAUUGUUUUUCUCUAUUUAUUUUUUAUUUAUUUGUUACCAUUUAACUAGUUUUUUAUUUGAUUAUGUUAAUAAUAUUGGAUCUAAUAAUUAAUUGACGUUCACAGGUAUAUUGUAAUCUACUUUUUCUUAUUUACUGAUUUAAUUUCAAUCGUCUAUCGAAGAUUAUUCAAAAAUAUCAGCCUGGUCAUUAGAGUGCAGGGACAUUCAUUUUCUUGGAGAACCACUUCUAACAGAGUCAUUCAUUAAUUCAUACUGGGGAUUAUUUAAACGACUUAUUUAUCCAUCCCAGCUUGAAGCUCUUGAUUCAUUUCUAUUACCAAAAACGAAAAACAGACCUAUUGUGGCAGACACAUGGAACUUGAAUAUUAUUUUUUCUUCGUAUUCCAACAGUACAACCUUUAAUGAACGUGGCAGAAGAUAAAUUGGUUUGAUUAAUCGGUUCUUCAUCAGCCUGAUUAAAUUUCAAACCUCUUUUUCACAUAACUUGUAUACAAAAAGCUGAGUCUUUUAAAAUGACAUUUAACUUCCUUACUACAGUGCCCUAAACCUAACCUCUUUACCAUUGAACUUCUAUACAAGAACUGAAUCUUUCAAAGUAAGAUUCUACUUCUGCCAGACUUAACCUUCUUACUUCGGUGCUCGGUCUCAACAACCUCACUUGAAUUCCAUCCCAAGAAAGGACAAACUCGAGCAGCGAAGCGUAGACGCGCUGAAAUAUGAAUAUUUUCGAUUUCUUCCCGCGCCCCCGGGGGAGAAUCCUUUCAGCCGCAGAUGCUACCAGAGUUCACAGCGGCAACCAGUUCCUUCGAGUCAUAAAUACCUGGCGCGAUCUUCGGGGAAGGGUUUCUGCGACCCUAAAUCAAGCGGCAGGGAGGUAGCAGAUGUCUCGACAUUUUCGCACCCCAUUCUCGCGUCUUCUACGAGUGCCAUCGUCGACUGCUAACGUCUCCUUCUUCCCUCUAUUUUACUCUGUCUGCAGAGCAAGGGCGCUGAACCGACCCAGGUAACUUCGGCGAGAAAUGUGCGUGUUGAGCAGGAUACACGCAUUUUGAGGUUAUGAUGGAAUUGGAUUUUUUACUCGGAGUGGUUUGAAGAUACAGGGGUUGAUUUAAGGCAUGAUGGAACAGAUUUGAUUGGGGAAAUAAUUCGUGCUGUUUCUUUUAUAAAUGGAGAAGCGAAAAGAAUGAAUCUGAUGGAGGAAUUCGACGAUGUAGGUUAAUUUUGAAAUACAUCCUACUCAGUUUUUUCCUUCAUUAUAUCUUAUUAUAGAUUUCUCACAAAACUUUUAUUUUCUGUUGAGGAAGCACUUAUAAUUUAUUUCUCAUCGUUGCAACGACAUGAAGAGCGAGAAAGGUAGUUAAGCAAAAAUGAAAAAUUGUUAACGUUUACUUGAUCAAGUUUUUGUAAGGCAGUUCCUAAUGACCUGUAGAAAGCGGCAGGAACUUCUAGGUAACGAUUACAGAGAUGAAGAAUCGAGAAGUAAAAAGUAUCUCCUUUGUCGGCUUAUGAUUCAUUCGUUCCUUUUUUGCUAGUUUGUUUCGUGGAAAUAAUCAUUCGGAUAAUGCGGCUGGUUAACAUUACCGGUAGCGUUCCAAACUUGCAACCAUCCACACUGUUGACAAUAACGCCCCGAUAGUGAUCUCGAAAGGAGGUGUGGGUGACAAUACGGAUGACAAGCGUGUUACGCCAGUGCGAACAGGAUUUAACAUCGCCGUCUCAUUUAGUUGUAUCUUUUCUUUUUUCCUUUGGAACAGAUUUAUGUCUGUCCAAUUGGAUAGAUUUACAUCUGCGUACACCUGCUCAAUAUAUUAUGUUUUAACA